rnacentral:rRNA from 1 species
UACUGCCUACGGGAGGCAGCAGUGAGGAAUAUUGGUCAAUGGUCGGGAGACUGAACCAGCCAAGCCGCGUGAGGGAGGAAGGUACAGAGUAUCGUAAACCUCUUUUGUCAGGGAACAAAGGCGGGGACGUGUCCCCGGAUGAGUGUACCUGAAGAAAAAGCAUCGGCUAACUCCGUGCCAGCAGCCGCGGUAAUACGGAGGAUGCGAGCGUUAUCCGGAUUUAUUGGGUUUAAAGGGAGCGGAGGUGGAUUGUUAAGUCAGUUGGGAAAGUUUGUG